UGGAUUAACUUGUAGACUUAAGACUUAAUAGAAGGUGCAAAAAAUAAAUCCUCUUUUGCAACCCAGAGCUCAUUGUUUGGUAUGAGUUUUGAUACAUAUAAGAAGGCUUGGG
rnacentral:snoRNA from 1 species